ACUUUUCAACUGAUCGGGAUCAGAAGCAGCGCAUUUCGGCGAAGCAAAUGUACUGAAUCUUCCACUAGAAGUUGUUCCAAUCAAUGAUCGUUUCUGGUAGCGGAAUAUGUGGGGAAGGAGAGGAGAUGAUCGAAUGCAUUUAAGAGAAGAAGAAGAGGAGGAGGAGAAUGAAAUGGCAAGUCUCGCCGUCGUGGAGGCGGAUAUGGCGGCGAUGGUGGCGGAGGGGAGGAGAUGAGAGGUGGCGCCUGUGAGGGAAGUCAUUGGGUGAAUGCUAGUGACCGAAGAGAG
rnacentral:misc_RNA from 1 species